rnacentral:RNase_P_RNA from 1 species
GGCGAGAAGAAGGUUUAAGGAGUGACAAACAAGCGCUUAUGUCGCUUAUCUGAGAACUCCUGGGAAGGUCUGAGAAAAGGUACUAUGUUAUGUGAAUCUUCCAGCAGGAGAGUGGCGUAAUACGCUGCAAGGUUCGUACUAGAAAAACGGCACACUUCAUAUAUGAUGAACGCAUGAGGGCUUCACUGGUGCCAGACGUGCAUAUAUGAAGUGUUGGAAGGAGACCCUCGUACCGGCUGUGCUUAGUGCAAUAACCAGGCAAACACAAUUCAGACUACUCUCUCGCC